GCAGAAUUCCGCGAAUCAUCGAGUCUUUGAACGCAAGUUGCGCCCGAGGCUCGUCCGAGGGCAUGCCUGCCUGAGCGUCAU
rnacentral:rRNA from 1 species